rnacentral:rRNA from 1 species
GGGUUGUGAGGUUAAGCGACUAAGCGUACACGGUGGAUGCCCUGGCAGUCAGAGGCGAUGAAGGGCGUGCUAAUCUGCGAUAAGCGCCGGUAAGGUGAUAUGAACCGUUAUAACCGGCGAUACCCGAAUGGGGAAACCCAGUGUGACUCGUCACACUAUCAUUAACUGAAUCCAUAGGUUAAUGAGGCGAACCGGGGGAACUGAAACAUCUAAGUACCCCGAGGAAAAGAAAUCAACCGAGAUUCCCCCAGUAGCGGCGAGCGAACGGGGAGGAGCCCAGAGCCUGAAUCAGCAUGUGUGUUAGUGGAAGCGUCUGGAAAGGCGCGCGAUACAGGGUGACAGCCCCGUACACAAAAGCGCAUGUGCUGUGAGCUCGAUGAGUAGGGCGGGACACGUGGUAUCCUGUCUGAAUAUGGGGGGACCAUCCUCCAAGGCUAAAUACUCCUGACUGACCGAUAGUGAACCAGUACCGUGAGGGAAAGGCGAAAAGAACCCCGGCGAGGGGAGUGAAAAAGAACCUGAAACCGUGUACGUACAAGCAGUGGGAGCCCCACCACUAAGCCAGUGGUGAACUCCACAUCCGCAUCCUUUGCUGAGGAUACGGUUAACGGAGCGAAAGCGACGUUCAACCGCAAAACAAGCAGAGGGGGCUUAGUGGUGGGGUGACUGCGUACCUUUUGUAUAAUGGGUCAGCGACUUAUAUUCUGUAGCAAGGUUAACCGAAUAGGGGAGCCGGAGGGAAACCGAGUCUUAAUUGGGCGUUAAGUUGCAGGGUAUAGACCCGAAACCCGGUGAUCUAGCCAUGGGCAGGUUGAAGGUUGGGUAACACUAACUGGAGGACCGAACCGACUAAUGUUGAAAAAUUAGCGGAUGACCUGUGGCUGGGGGUGAAAGGCCAAUCAAACCGGGAGAUAGCUGGUUCUCCCCGAAAGCUAUUUAGGUAGCGCCUCGUGAAUUCAUCUCCGGGGGUAGAGCACUGUUUCGGCUAGGGGGCCAUCCCGGCUUACCAACCCGAUGCAAACUGCGAAUACCGGAGAAUGUUAUCACGGGAGACACACGGCGGGUGCUAACGUCCGUCGUGAAGAGGGAAACAACCCAGACCGCCAGCUAAGGUCCCAAAGUCAUGGUUAAGUGGGAAACGAUGUGGGAAGGCCCAGACAGCCAGGAUGUUGGCUUAGAAGCAGCCAUCAUUUAAAGAAAGCGUAAUAGCUCACUGGUCGAGUCGGCCUGCGCGGAAGAUGUAACGGGGCUAAACCAUGCACCGAAGCUGCGGCAGCGACGCUGAUGCGUUGUUGGGUAGGGGAGCGUUCUGUAAGCCUGUGAAGGUGUGUCGUGAGGCAUGCUGGAGGUAUCAGAAGUGCGAAUGCUGACAUAAGUAACGAUAAAGCGGGUGAAAAGCCCGCUCGCCGGAAGACCAAGGGUUCCUGUCCAACGUUAAUCGGGGCAGGGUGAGUCGACCCCUAAGGCGAGGCCGAAAGGCGUAGUCGAUGGGAAACGGGUUAAUAUUCCCGUACUUGGUGUUACUGCGAAGGGGGGACGGAGAAGGCUAUGUUGGCCGGGCGACGGUUGUCCCGGUUUAAGCGUGUAGGUGUGUGUUCCAGGUAAAUCCGGUUCACUUUAACACUGAGGCGUGACGACGAGGCACUACGGUGCUGAAGCAACAAAUGCCCUGCUUCCAGGAAAAGCCUCUAAGCAUCAGGUAACACGAAAUCGUACCCCAAACCGACACAGGUGGUCAGGUAGAGAAUACCAAGGCGCUUGAGAGAACUCGGGUGAAGGAACUAGGCAAAAUGGUGCCGUAACUUCGGGAGAAGGCACGCUGACACGUAGGUGAAGUGAUUUACUCAUGGAGCUGAAGUCAGUCGAAGAUACCAGCUGGCUGCAACUGUUUAUUAAAAACACAGCACUGUGCAAACACGAAAGUGGACGUAUACGGUGUGACGCCUGCCCGGUGCCGGAAGGUUAAUUGAUGGGGUCAGCGCAAGCGAAGCUCCUGAUCGAAGCCCCGGUAAACGGCGGCCGUAACUAUAACGGUCCUAAGGUAGCGAAAUUCCUUGUCGGGUAAGUUCCGACCUGCACGAAUGGCGUAAUGAUGGCCAGGCUGUCUCCACCCGAGACUCAGUGAAAUUGAACUCGCUGUGAAGAUGCAGUGUACCCGCGGCAAGACGGAAAGACCCCGUGAACCUUUACUAUAGCUUGACACUGAACAUUGAGCCUUGAUGUGUAGGAUAGGUGGGAGGCUUUGAAGUGUGGACGCCAGUCUGCAUGGAGCCGACCUUGAAAUACCACCCUUUAAUGUUUGAUGUUCUAACGUGGACCCGUAAUCCGGGUUGCGGACAGUGUCUGGUGGGUAGUUUGACUGGGGCGGUCUCCUCCUAAAGAGUAACGGAGGAGCACGAAGGUUGGCUAAUCCUGGUCGGACAUCAGGAGGUUAGUGCAAUGGCAUAAGCCAGCUUGACUGCGAGCGUGACGGCGCGAGCAGGUGCGAAAGCAGGUCAUAGUGAUCCGGUGGUUCUGAAUGGAAGGGCCAUCGCUCAACGGAUAAAAGGUACUCCGGGGAUAACAGGCUGAUACCGCCCAAGAGUUCAUAUCGACGGCGGUGUUUGGCACCUCGAUGUCGGCUCAUCACAUCCUGGGGCUGAAGUAGGUCCCAAGGGUAUGGCUGUUCGCCAUUUAAAGUGGUACGCGAGCUGGGUUUAGAACGUCGUGAGACAGUUCGGUCCCUAUCUGCCGUGGGCGCUGGAGAACUGAGGGGGGCUGCUCCUAGUACGAGAGGACCGGAGUGGACGCAUCACUGGUGUUCGGGUUGUCAUGCCAAUGGCACUGCCCGGUAGCUAAAUGCGGAAGAGAUAAGUGCUGAAAGCAUCUAAGCACGAAACUUGCCCCGAGAUGAGUUCUCCCUGAGACUUAGAGUCUCCUGAAGGAACGUUGAAGACGACGACGUUGAUAGGCCGGGUGUGUAAGCGCAGCGAUGCGUUGAGCUAACCGGUACUAAUGAACCGUGAGGCUUAACCUUACAACGCCGAAG